AACGCGAAGAACCUUACCUGGGCUUGAACCGCACAGGACCAUUCCUAGAAAUAGGGACUUCCCGCAAGGGACCUGUGUAGAGGUGCUGCAUGGCUGUCGUCAGCUCGUGCCGUGAGGUGUUGGGUUAAGUCCCGCAACGAGCGCAACCCUUACUCGUAGUUGCCACCCGCAAGGGGGAACUCUACGAGGACUGCUCCGGAUAACGGAGAGGAAGGUGGGGAUGAGGUCAAGUCAGCAUGGCCUUUAUGUCCAGGGCUACACACGUGUUACAAUGCGCGCUACAAAGCGUUGCAAACCCGCGAGGGGGAGCUAAUCGCAAAAAAGCGCGCUCAGUUCGGAUUGGAGUCUGCAACUCGACUCCAUGAAGCUGGAAUCGCUAGUAAUCGCAGAUCAGAAUGCUGCGGUGAAUACGUUCCCGGGCUUGUACACACCGCGCAUA
rnacentral:rRNA from 1 species